AGUUCACAAUGCAGAUAGACUCACAAGCUUCUGGUCUCCAAAAUUCUUUCUUUGCUGCUGGUCUAUCACCUUCUGCAACAGCAGCUUACAAGACACCAAUGCCUAUAGAAGAAGCUGAGACCCUUAUUAAGAAAUGGCAAACCAUUAAGGCAGAAGCACUAGGGCCUGACCAUAAUAUUGAUGGUCUCUUUGAUGUUCUUGAUGAGCCGAUGCUUGUUCAGUGGCAAGCCUUGUCUGAAGCAGCAAAAACCAGGUCGUGUUUCUCGAGAUUUGUUUUGCUCCAACUUUCAGUUUUACGAGCAGAGAUUUUGACCGAUGGGAUUGGUCAGGAGAUGGCAG
rnacentral:misc_RNA from 1 species